rnacentral:lncRNA from 1 species
CCUCCAACUUGAAUGUGACCAAAAGCUGCGCUCUCCCCUGCUAACUCCUUAGCACAAUUACACCUCCAUUCUGCUCCGGGGGCCUGGGGAGGGAAAAAAAAAUCAUUUUAACCUAAUAACACGUGCUGUUUGCUUUGGAUAAUUACAAGGGAGCUUCGGCUCCUCCGAGCACGGGGACGUUGAGAGCGGCGGGGCGGGAGGGAGGCUCGGCGUUACGCCUCCGCGGCCACUUUUAUCUCCUGCCCGGGGUCGGGCGUGCGCACGGCCCCCAGAGGCUUCCCUCCACCUCUUGUCCUGGGCACCUGGGCCAGCAUUUACAGCUCCGAGCGCGGAACCCGAGAGGAGGAGGCCGCUGACGUUGCUCCUUAUCUCAAGUCCCAAUUUCCUGUUUUUGGGGCUGCUCGCCCCGCGCUCUGCCACCUCCCAGCCAGGCUCCUGCAGGACCCCGCUGCCCCUCCACACCUCCGCUGCCAGCACCAGGACCCCGGCGUGGAGCAGAGAGCGAUGCCCCCAGACCUCGGCACGCAGCAGAACCUCCCCAAGCAGCCUGGCUUCGAAGCAGCCUCGUGUCAGCCCCGAAUUUCCCUGCUCUUCCUGCUCAGGGGCAGGCGGCAGCACGGGCAGCGACGGCACCUCGCCUCGCUACAGCCUCUUCUUGCUCUGCUCGAGGAACCUGCGUGGGCUCUGAGGUCUUGGUGAUUUAAGGGAAAGGAUGCAAAAAUAAUUAAAAAAAAUACACAAGAAAUUAAUUAUCCCGACGUGUGCUACGGAUUCUUGGGUGAACCUACAGGAUGGGGGUGGGUGGGUGGAUGGAGGGAGGGAUGGUAACAGCGCUCUAGGAAUGGCUUGAUGUGCUGGUCCACACGCUGGGGAUGCAGGAACACUUUUCUCUCGGUAAUUAGUCCCUGCACCCUGAGCCACUGCUUGUAAAUCCUCUAAACCCUCGGCAGUGCCCACCUCUUUGUCUCCCCACCCCGUGCCCGUCCCGCUCGCACACCCGUUUUGCUUUUUUCCCAUGUUUUUUGGCUGGCACUGGGUCCGGCUGCCCUCCUGGAGCAGCAGGCUGAGGUUUUGUGCGCGGGGCUUUGUGCGAGCGGCUGCGUGCCUCUGCGUGCACACAAAGAUGGACACGACCCCCUGGGCAAUAAACACCUUCCAAGGGGCUCCAGAGAGAGAGACGCAGGGCAAAGGGGAAGAAAGAGCCCGCAGCCCCUCAGCCAGACAAUCGGCGAAGACGAGCAGAAAGAGCCAGUGAACCAAAAAAAAAAAAAAAA